GCGCCUAUUCUUGAAGUUGGUUGACGACGUUCAAUCUCAGCCUCAACCUUAGGUGCAGAUUGCAUAGCUCCACCAUCAAUUUUUUCUACUACUUUUUUUUUCUUGAAAAAAUCAUUAAUUUUUCUACUCAUAAUGGACCUAAAAUAUGAAUAAAGUUAUAAGAGAAAAAUGAAAUAAAAAGAAAAAGAAAAAGAGAAGAAGUGAAGAGGAUGUUGAAUAGAACCG
rnacentral:lncRNA from 1 species